AGUGAACGCUGGCGGUAGGCCUAACACAUGCAAGUCGAACGGCAGCACAGUAAGAGCUUGCUCUUACGGGUGGCGAGUGGCGGACGGGUGAGGAAUACAUCGGACUCUACUUUUUCGUGGGGGAUAACGUAGGGAAACUUAAGCUCAUACCGCAUACGACCUACGGGUGAAAGCAGGGGAUCUUCGGACCUUGCGCGAUUGAAUGAGCCGAUGUCGGAUUAGCUAGUUGGCGGGGUAAAGGCCCACCAAGGCGACGAUCCGUAGCUGGUGUGAGAGGAUGAUCGGCCACACUGGAACUGGGACACGGACCAUGCGCCUGCGAUAGGCCGCAGUGGGGAAUGUUGGACAAUGGGCGCAAGCCUGGUCCAGCCAUACCGCGUGGGUGAAGAAGGCCUUCGGGUUGUAAAGCCCGUUUGUUGGGAAAAAAAAGCAGCAGGUUAAGACCCCGCUGUUCUGACGGUACCCAAAGAAUAAGCACCGGCUAACUUCGUG
rnacentral:rRNA from 1 species